ensembl:lincRNA
CCUGGAGCAGAGGCCGCUGGGCCGCCUGCCCUUGCCUGCCCUUCAGAGCUAGUCCUGCAGGGCACUGGCCAGAGCCCCUACCAGGGGGAGAUAGCCCAGCACAGGACAGAAGGAUCCGGAAUGACCCAGCGUGUCCAGGCCCAGGUGGAAGAGGAGCCGCCAGGUAGAGCUGGGGCUUCGGCUUCUAGAGCUUCACACCGGAAGGCUGGGAGGGAGGCGCCGCCGGAGUCUUCACGAGGACUUUAAAUAACCCCCAGAGGGGCUGGAGCGGCCCUGACGGUGACCGGCUGGCCAGGCCCUGCGGCUGCCCCACCCACAGCAGACACCUGCCGUGGCCCCUGGAGCCAACAUGGCGGCAGGGAGCGGGGUUCUGCUGGCGCCCAGAGGUCCCCCACCGUCCCAUGCAAGCCCGUGCCGAGACCCAGGUUGGCCCUGAGCCACCUGCGUGUGUUCCCGCCAUCCCAGCCACCACACCCAGCACGGGGCAGCCCCAGCGUUUCCUCCCUCCUGCUGGCCACGUGUCCUUGCAGCUCGCUGGGGACAGCAGGAGUCCGCGGAAACCGACCGCCGUCCCGGACGACUGGCCACCUUGCAGAGCCACGCCAACCCUGCCACGUGUCCGAGCUGCUCCGAGGCUGCGCCUUGCCUCGGGCUCCAGGCCCCGCUGGACACUCCGGCGGCCACACCCUCCUCUGCUCUUGGCACAGGGUCCCAGGAGGGCGGGCGGGG